UGUCAAUCCAAAUGGGUGUGAUGC
rnacentral:siRNA from 1 species